rnacentral:lncRNA from 1 species
AGGGACUCUCCUGGAAGAAGCUAGCUAGCUAACAAAGAAUAACAAAGAACAUCUGGUUAACAGAAGAAAAGAAAGGACAGAAGAAAAAAGACAUCAAACAGUUCCCUAAAGACACAAGAGACAAUAAUACAAGAAACAACGCUUCUAUUGCAACAUUGUAGCCAACAUCACCAGCGUUGCUAUGGAAAUUGUUUACCCACCAGACAUCCAAACAGAGAAAGCUAAGAAAAGUUUCAAAGAAGCUGAAAUCAUCUCAGAAACGGAGGAAAAAGUCAAGGAGGGAGAUGGAGAAAAGCAGGCCCCAAUGGUCUCUGUGACCCAGCAAGAAGCCCUCAGUGUCCCUCUACCUACCUCACCUGCAGCAGACAGCGCCAAGGACAUGCCUACAACACCAAGAACACCUACUAUGCAACGUUUCCACAACACCCUCUCUCUAGUCGAAGCAGAGGUCAUAGAACUCAGAGAGAACACGCUUCAAGAGGAGGACACUGUCCAAAAACUAAAAGAAGAGAUGAAACAGUUCAGGGAGGAGAGAAGAGCAUCUAUUAGAGCAUCUAAAUAGAAAGCAGAAUGGACAAACUGAGUCAGACAAAUGAUGACCUCAGAGACCUUCUGAGCACAACAAGAAAGGAGCUAGAACAAAGAGAGAGGUACAUUGACACGCUCAACCAGCAGCUAGUCAUUAUGUCCUCUGCAUCUAGAGAACAUGUCGACCAGCUUGGCAUAACACAAGCAGAACUUGAGAUCAGCAUGGCCUCCACCACACAGCCUGAUGACACUGCACCAGCCUACCAGUCUGCUCCAGCCCAGAUCAGCCAACCAGCCUACCAGUCUGCUCCAGCCCAGAUCAGCCAACCACCGUCCCAGUCUGCUCCAGCCCAGAUCAGCCAACCAGCGUCCCAGUCUGCUCUAGCCCAUGUCAGCCUACCUGCUUCCCAGUCUGCUCCAGCACAGUCUGCUUCAGCCCAGGUCAACCUACCAGCCUCUCAGUCUGCUCCAGCCCAGGUCAACCUACCAGCCUCUCAGUCUGCUCCAGCCCAGGUCAGCCAACCAGCCACCCUGUCUGCUUCAGCCCUGGUCAACCUACCAGCCUCUCAGUCUGCUCCAGCCCAGGUCAACCUACCAGCCUCUCAGUCUGCUCCAGCCCAGGUCAGCCAACCAGCCACCCUGUCUGCUCCAGCCCAGGUCAACCUACCAGCCUCUCAGUCUGCUCCAGCCCAGGUCAACCUACCAG